CAAACUCUGAGUUAAAACGAAACUCUGAGUUGAUUUACUCUGAGUUUGCAAACCCGGAGUUUUCGGUUCCAGAACAGCUGAAAAGAGUUGGUUUAAGCAACUCUGAGUUGUCUGACUCAGAGUUAAGCGCGUGCACCGCGACGAUACAAAGCCCUGAUCAAUGGAGUGCAGAUAUUACGAGUCACCAUGGCAACAGGACAACAACAGACGUCCGGAAAUGGAUAUGAUACUUCAAGCAUAUAGCGACUACGAGUCUAUAAUCCGUAGAAAAAGCAACACGGCUGCAGCGGCGAAAGAGAAAGAAUUAGCUUGGAAGAAAAUAGCUGCUCGAGUCAAUGCCCAACAGAAACAAGGCAGAGACUAGAACAACUGGUGGAGGACCUGCACCUCCACCACUGACGCAUGCAGAGGAGAAGGCACUCAGCCUGAACACUGGAAAGCAGGGGCUGAAGGAAUUCAUCAGAACCCGUUACUCCCCAGGAUACAAGUGCAUUUGUAAAAUAGUGUGAAAGAACAGCAGGAGGAGGUCAGUCACAUUCUGCUGCACAGAUGCACACAGUUCAGUGAUGUUCAGUAAACGCCAGAGUUCAAUUCUGUAAGAGUAAUGAGGAACUAUGUCAUGUAACUCUAAAUC